AAGGCUUUAGUUUAACAAAAACAUUUGAUUUGCAAUUAAAAAAUGCAAGAUAGAGUCUUGUAGGCCUUA
rnacentral:tRNA from 1 species